UACAGAGGGGGCAAGCGUUGUUCGGAAUUACUGGGCGUAAAGGGCGCGUAGGCGGCCUUCUAAGUCGAACGUGAAAUCCCCGGGCUCAACCCGGGAACUGCGUCCGAUACUGGAAGGCUUGAAUCCGGGAGAGGGAUGUGGAAUUCCAGGUGUAGCGGUGAAAUGCGUAGAUAUCAGGAGGAACACCUAUGGCGAAGGCAGCUCGCUGGGACGGUACUGACGCUGAGGCGCGAAAGCGUGGGGAGCGAACAGG
rnacentral:rRNA from 1 species